rnacentral:rRNA from 1 species
AGCGAACGCUGGCGGCAGGCCUAACACAUGCAAGUCGAACGAACUCUUCGGAGUUAGUGGCGGACGGGUGAGUAACACGUGGGAACGUGCCUUUAGGUUCGGAAUAACUCAGGGAAACUUGUGCUAAUACCGAAUGUGCCCUUCGGGGGAAAGAUUUAUCGCCUUUAGAGCGGCCCGCGUCUGAUUAGCUAGUUGGUGGGGUAAUGGCUCACCAAGGCUACGAUCAGUAGCUGGUCUGAGAGGAUGACCAGCCACAUUGGGACUGAGACACGGCCCAAACUCCUACGGGAGGCAGCAGUGGGGAAUCUUGCGCAAUGGGCGAAAGCCUGACGCAGCCAUGCCGCGUGGAUGAUGAAGGUCUUAGGAUUGUAAAAUCCUUUCACCGGUGAAGAUAAUGACUGUAGCCGGAGAAGAAGCCCCGGCUAACUUCGUGCCAGCCGCCGCGGUAA